GACGAACGCUGGCGGCGCGCUUAACACAUGCAAGUCGAACGGAAAGGCCUGCUUUCCCUUGUGGAUUGCGGGUACUCGAGUGGCGAACGGGUGAGUAACACGUGAGUGAUCUGCCCCCAACUUGGGUAUAAGCCUGGGAAACUGGGUCUAAUUCCCGAUAGGACUGCAGGGUGGUGCCUGUGGUGGCAAACGAUUUUCUAGUGGUUGGGGAUGAGCUCGCGGCCUAUCAGCUUGUUGGUGGGGUAAUGGCCUACCAAGGCGGCGACGGGUAGCCGGCCUGAGAGGGUGGACGGCCACAUUGGGACUGAGAUACGGCCCAGACUCCUACGGGAGGCAGCAGUGGGGAAUAUUGCACAAUGGGCGGAAGCCUGAUGCAGCGACGCCGCGUGGGGGAUGACGGCCUUCGGGUUGUAAACUCCUUUCGACCGCGAGGAAGCCACCUGGUUGGAAGGGUGGUGACGGUAGUGGUAGAAGAAGCACCGGCUAACUACGUG
rnacentral:rRNA from 1 species